rnacentral:rRNA from 1 species
UACAGAGGUCCCAAGCGUUGUUCGGAUUCACUGGGCGUAAAGGGUGCGUAGGUGGUGAGGUAAGUCGGAUGUGAAAUCUCGGAGCUCAACUCCGAAAUGGCAUUGGAAACUACCUUGCUCGAGGGUUGGAGGGGGGACUGGAAUACUUGGUGUAGCAGUGAAAUGCGUAGAUAUCAAGUGGAACACCAGUGGCGAAGGCGAGUCCCUGGACAACUCCUGACACUGAGGCACGAAGGUCAGGGGAGCAAACGGG